rnacentral:rRNA from 1 species
UCACCUACGGGAGGCAGCAGUGAGGAAUAUUGGUCAAUGGGCGAGAGCCUGGACCAGCCAAGUCGCGUGAAGGAUGACGGCCCUAUGGGUUGUAAACUUCUUUUGUCAGGGAGCAAUUGGGUCCACGUGUGGGCUUAGCGAGAGUACCUGAAGAAAAAGCAUCGGCUAACUCCGUGCCAGCAGCCGCGGUAAUACGUAGGGGGCAAGCGUUAUCCGGAUUUACUGGGUGUAAAGGGAGCGUAGGCGGCCACGCAAGUCAGAAGUGAAAACCCGGGGCUCAACCCUGGGAGUGCUUUUGAAACUGG